rnacentral:rRNA from 1 species
GACGAACGCUGGCGGCGUGCUUAACACAUGCAAGUCGAACGGAAAGGCCCUGCUUUUGUGGGGUGCUCGAUUGGCGAACGGGUGAGUAACACGUGAGUAACCUGCCCUUGUCUUUGGGAUAACUUCAGGAAACUGGGGCUAAUACCGGAUAGGAGCUCCUGCUGCAUGGUGGGGGUUGGAAAGUUUCGGCGGUUCGGGAUGGACUCGAGGGUUAUGAGCUUGUUGGUGGGGUAGUGGCUUACCAAGGCUUUGACGGGUAGCCGGCCUGAGAGGGUGACCGGCCACAUUGGGACUGAGAUACGGACCAGAAUCCAACGGGAGGCAGCAGUCGGGAAUAUUGCACAAUGGGCGGAAGCCUGAUGCAGCAACGCCGCGUGCGGGAUGACGGCCUUCGGGUUGUAAACCGCUGUCGCCUGUGACGAAGCGUGAGUGACGGUAAUGGGUAAAGAAGCACCGGCUAACUACGUG